GCAUUAUUUAAUUAGUGCCACUAAUGGUUACGUAAUUACCGGCGUUUUAAAAAAAAUGCCACUAAAGCUGGGCAAGCACAGGCAUAACUGAAAGUGCCGCUAAAAUUUUAGUGAUUAGCGGCAUUCUCUGAAAUGCCACCAAAGUUUUGGUGAUUAAGGCAGUAUCAAGUGCCGGCAUAGCUAGGAAUUAGCGGCAGUAUCUAAAGUGCCGGCAAAGCUUAGAUGAUUAGCGGCACUUUGUUGAAUGCCGCCAAAGUUCUAUGUUAAUUUAUUGCAGAGUUUCAGAAAAGUCUUAGAGUGCUUAACUGAGAAACACAGGGACCUUUCAGUAAAUAGCCGAAAGAGAAGAUCUGCCUUCAUUCCGCUUCCCAAAUGCGCCCCUGUGCUCCCACUCCUCCGCCGUCCGUCGUCCGCCCCCAAACCCCGUUCGCCACCACCGCUGGUCCUCCGCCGACCGCGGGAGGGAAGGGAGGCGGCGUGCCCGUCCACCACUACCGCGGGUCCUCCGCCGUCCGCGUCAGGCUCGCCGCCCCCGUCUUCUGGGCCACCACUCCAUCGUCUUCCGGACGUGGGUGGCCGGGGCAGUCAAAUGGAUAUGGUCUGCGCCUCCUCGGCGGAGCGGAACCCUGGAUCCCGGAGCCCUCGACGGAGAGGGUUUCGUCCUCGCCGGGGACCCGCCUCUCGACACCAGCACCAGCACCAUCACCACCGUCGCCCACGAGGUCCACACCUCCACGCGCGUCUGCGUCAGACUCACAUCGAGCUUGUGGUGUCUGCUGGUUUUGUUCUAUUUUUCGAUUUUGUUGCUGGUCCUUUUCCUGCUAUCGGUGAGCUUUUGGUCAUGUGUGCUGGACAACAUUGCCAGUGGGUCACAGGGGCCGGGAAGGAAACGGCGUGGAAUGUUCCAUGCACCAAUCAUGGAUACCUCUACCAAGUCGUUCUCGCCAUUUGGUAUGGAGGUCUUUCUCCUCGACAUGAAACUCGCAUCUGAAUCUGUCCCCAUGGAUUUGGGAGCCCCGACCUAAUUUACCAUGUUCGCAUCCAGGCUCUUUUACUUCUUGCACGCUCCAUUGAGGCAGAUCCAAGCACAAUUAUUCUGUGGGUGUUUUAUCUUCAUAUUUACUAUCAAAAGGAUGAAGGACUUGGAACAUUUUCAGUGAACUGCAGGAGGGUGGGUGGAGGGCGGAGGGCGCGCUCACCGGUGCUCUGGCAUCAUGCUCGACGAGGAAGAGGGCUUGGCGUCGGGGACGUGAACCUGGUUGUGGCGUCGGAUGCAUGGCGCGGCUGGCGCAACUUCCUCUGGCCGCACGACGAGGCAUCUGGCCGCGCAGCGAGGCAGGGCCCAAACUCCAUGCCAACUUUCUUCCUCGGCGGCAGAUGAACCCUGUUGUUCAUGAUGAGGAGAUCAACCCUGUUGUGUAUUUUAUCUAAUGGUUUCAAACCAUGUUGUUCAUGAUGUGGAGAUGAACCCUGUUGGUCAUGUAAGUUAGAUGCCUGGAUUGUGAAUCCUUGAAUGUUUCAAAAUGUUGGUUUCAAACCUAGAUUGCUUGGAAAUAUUGGUUUUAAACAUUGCUUGA